UACGAAGGGGGCUAGCGUUGUUCGGAAUCACUGGGCUUAAAGGGCGCGUAGGCGGGCUUGAUAGUCCGUGGUGAAAGCCCCCGGCUUAACCGGGGAAGUGCCGUGGAUACUGCAAGCCUGGAGGAGGGUAGGGGCAUCUGGAACGCUGGGUGGAGCGGUGAAAUGCGUUGAUAUCCAGCGGAACUCCGGUGGCGAAGGCGAGGUGCUGGACCCUUUCUGACGCUGAUGCGCGAAAGCCAGGGGAGCAAACGGG
rnacentral:rRNA from 1 species